rnacentral:rRNA from 1 species
GACGAACGCUGGCGGCGUGCUUAACACAUGCAAGUCGAACGGAAAGGCCCUGCUUUUGUGGGGUGCUCGAGUGGCGAACGGGUGAGUAACACGUGAGUAACCUGCCCUUGACUUUGGGAUAACUUCAGGAAACUGGGGCUAAUACCGGAUAGGAGCUCCUGCCGCAUGGUGGGGGUUGGAAAGUUUCGGCGGUUGGGGAUGGACUCGCGGCUUAUCAGCUUGUUGGUGGGGUAGUGGCUUACCAAGGCUUUGACGGGUAGCCGGCCUGAGAGGGUGACCGGCCACAUUGGGACUGAGAUACGGCCCAGACUCCUACGGGAGGCAGCAGUGGGGAAUAUUGCACAAUGGGCGGAAGCCUGAUGCAGCAACGCCGCGUGCGGGAUGACGGCCUUCGGGUUGUAAACCGCUUUCGCCUGUGACGAAGCGUGAGUGACGGUAAUGGGCAAAGAAGCACCGGCUAACUACGUG